rnacentral:rRNA from 1 species
GAUGAUCGCUGGCGGCAGGCUUAACACAUGCAAGUCGAACGCUCCGCAAGGGGAGUGGCAGACGGGUGAGUAACGCGUGGGAACGUGCCCUUCGCUUCGGAAUAGCCCCGGGAAACUGGGAGUAAUACCGGAUACGCCGUAUUGGAAAAGAUUUAUCGGCGAAGGAUCGGCCCGCGUUAGAUUAGCUAGUUGGCGGUGUAAUGGAACACCAAGGCUACGAUCUAUAGCUGGUCUGAGAGGAUGAUCAGCCACACUGGGACUGAGACAAGGCCCAGACUCCUGCGGGAGGCAGCAGUGGGGAAUCUUGGACAAUGGGCGCAAGCCUGAUCCAGCCAUGCCGCGUGAGUGAAGAAGGCCUUAGGGUUGUAAAACUCUUUCGCCGGAGAAGAUAAUGACGGUAUCCGGAGAAGAAGCCCCGGCUAACUUCGUGCCAGCCGCCGCAGUAA